rnacentral:rRNA from 1 species
CAAGUCGAGCGCCCCGCAAGGGGAGCGGCAGACGGGUGAGUAACGCGUGGGAAUCUACCCAUCUCUACGGAACAACUCCGGGAAACUGGAGCUAAUACCGUAUACGUCCUUCGGGAGAAAGAUUUAUCGGGNAUGGAUGAGCCCGCGUUGGAUUAGCUAGUUGGUGGGGUAAUGGCCUACCAAGGCGACGAUCCAUAGCUGGUCUGAGAGGAUGAUCAGCCACAUUGGGACUGAGACACGGCCCAAACUCCUACGG